UGAAGACAGGACAUGAAUUCAAGGUCAAUGGACACCGUUUGAAGCCCUGCUAUGAGACAUUUGAGGAGCAUGCCGUGGAGGACAUACCCCUCCAUGCCGUGGGCCCUAUUCAAGCUUAACUAGAGGUAUCGUUUGGCUGGAAGACGUUAAAGCAAGCGCUUCUUGGGAGGCAACCCAUGGGUUCAAACGAGGGAUUGAAGGAAUUCAAGCUCCAUAACCAGAUUUACGUUCCUACACUCUACUCUUUCUUGAUGUUAUUUUGCCGUGUUUGUCAUGUUUGUUAGUUGUGUUGAUUGCUUGUUUGAGUGUGAGUCUAUGUUUGAAACUUUGAGGACAAUGUUUGGUUUAAGUGUGGGGGGGGGUAAACAAGUGUUUGAUUACAAAUUCGUAGGAUUUUACCACCUAGCAUAACUAGGGUUGUUUCUCACUAUUUUAAGUGUUUUUAGAGUGUUUUGAAUUGUUUUAGUGUGUCUUAAAAGAAAAUUAUGAAAAUUUGAAAAAAAAAAUAGAAAACGUUUUGAAAAACCCAAAAAGAAUCGUUUUAGAGUCAUUUUGUGUGUUUAUGUCUUAGAGUACCUUCCAACACAAUGAUGAGGAUUUGGUUUUUAAUUAUAUGACUGUUAAAGAAAGUUACAAACAUGGGUGGAAGUUUGAUUUGCUCUUGGGUUUAUGCUUGGUUAUAGUUGUCGUUUACGAAUUCACAUGAAAUCACAAAGGAAAAAAUCAGUUUUUGUAACAUACUUGAAGAAAGGAACUCAAACUAACGGUACAACCCUGAGAGACUUGAGCCUAAACUUUAUUUGGAGAGUUAAUAAUCUGUGAUUUCUUGCUUUCUAAAGUCAUUGCAUGAUCUCAUUAUUCUUUGCUUAGUUGCUACUUAGAAUGCGUUUCAUCACUUUAGUUCCAAAUACUAGAACUCAUGCCCGUUUCAUUCAAAACUUAAAAUUGAGUGCAUAACAUAUAACAAGAUGAAGUUUUUUAGUAGUUACCACCAGAGCCAAAAAGCCUUUAUCCCAUGCAUUUGUUUUGUAGGUUUAACCCCUUUGAGCCUUAUUUAGCCUAUUUUCUUUGUUAGCCACAUUAUCCCGACCUAGCCUAGAAUAGGACUAUCCACACCCUUGUUCUUAAAGUAUAGUGGAGCAUGACUUAGAGGGAAUUCCUUUUGAUCAACAUUAUUGCAGAAAACAAGUGUGGGGGAAGAGUUUCAAAAGUGUGUUUUGUGUGCCAAAGAAAUAGGGCAAAAGCAAAAAAAAAAAAAAAAAAAAAAAAACAGAAAGAAGAAAAAGAAAAAAAAAGUUGUGGAAUAAGUGAGAAUGAACUCACAAGUAUUAGUUGUUGAAGAAAGGGUCCAAAAAGUUUGAAUAUGACCCUAAGUUGUACGAAAUCCCCUUAGUGUUUCAAGUUAUUUGUUGCAUUCAAGAGUGAACUCUAAGUUGAUUUCAUUACUUUGCUUACUAUUGCUUUAAGAACCUUUGUUUAUCCCUAACCUUUCUUUGUUAGCCGAUACCCUUAGCCCCAUUACAACCCUUAGACUUUUAUCUUGGUUGUUGUGUGUUUCAAUAUGUGGAGUUUGGGAUUGGUACGAGCAUAUGGUAUCCUUGGUUCUCGCAUCUAAAUAAUGGCAUUCCGUUCAUGAGAUCAUAUACAUGUUUAUGUUAAUAACUCCAGAAAGUGCUUUCUUUGUUUAAAAACAUAUGUGAGUGUUAGUUUACAUGUUUACAUCAAUCUUCUCACAUAUACUUAGUAUAGGGAGUGUAGUCAGAAAAUCUAUGUGAAAAUAGAGUGUACAUCCGGUGAAGAAUUGAGGGAAUUCUCUAAGGCAUGUUACUAUAUUCAAAAAUAUUGUUUUAAUUGAUUAAAUGCAAACUAGUGAGUGAUGAAUGUGAUUAAGUAUGCGCUCGAGAGUAGGGAUGACUAAAACCUAUGUGAGUAGUGAUUUUUAAUCAUGUUUCAUUGGAAAUCCUUGAGGCAAACGUUGGAAGGUUUAGGUUAUGUUUUUGUUUUGUUUGUUUUGUUUCCUUUGUUUUGCUCGAGGAUUUGAUAGGAGCAUAUUUAUGCGACUUAGUUAGCUUGUUUUCUUGCAUUUUCGUAGUUAGUUUGUGCUUAUUAUAGUGAUUUAAGUUAUUUUCGUGUGUUUGUAGGUCCAAAUGACAAAGUUGGCAAGAAAGUGCAUUUUGGAGCAGUUUUGGACACUAAAUGGAUAGCACAUGUAUGGGCCAAGGUGGAUGGACGUUUUUGGAGUUCAAAAGGCUAGGAAUCUGAUAAGGAGAUGAAGAAAUUAAAUUCAAGACAAAGAAGAUAAGGAAUCAGCUCAAAAGAAGAAACAUUAUCCAAAACCUUAUCCAACCUUAUCUUAUCCAAACCAACCUUAUUUUAUCUUAUCCUAUCGUAAUCUUAUCAUGCCUUAAUUCUAGCUGCAAGGGGACCUAAAUAUAUAUUUCUAGAAGCUAUUUUUAGAAGCAUUAUCUUCUAGAAGUCCCAAAUCAACCACAAAACACAUUGUUUCUAGAAUUCCUACAAAAGUAGCGCCUAUUCCCUUCUAGAAGGCUUUUCCCUUGCCUUGCAAGCCACUCAUUUUCCCUCCAAUCUGUGCCGCACCUUUCCUUACCCAAUUCCCUUUGGAUUCUGAUUUAAUUAGCCUUUUUCCUUAUGGAUUUGGGUUAUGCAAAUCCUUUUCAGAAAUUAAUUGGGCAAAACCCUUUUCUUGGUGGAUUUAAACCCUUGUGCCGCACCUUUAAGCCCUAAUCCUCAAAAUCUACUAAGUUCUAACCCUAAUCUGAUUAACCCUAGCUCUUGCCAUGCCUAUAUAUAUGUGUUUUUCAGCCAAAAUUCGUCACCACCCCAUACCAUUCAGAAAUACAAUCUGCCACAACUCAUACACCAUUCUACAUCAUUCUCCACCAACAUACAUCUUUGAUGCACCCUUUUGUGAAGAAGGAGAUCCUUGUCGUGCAUUCUAUUGAUGAAGGAGGACCUUGUGCACAAGCCACCUGCAUCCUUGGGAGUUCUAAGAGUUCUUUUUUCCCUCGUUUUAGUUUCAAUGUUUAUUUCAAUUUGCUUUUCAAUUGCUGUGAACAUGUGUAACUAAGUUCUUAUUAGUUAGUGGUGAAUUCGAAGCCAUGGACAUAUGUUAAUAUGAAUUGAUGCCUUUCAGUUAUUGUUUCGUAAAACAUGAAUGUGAUUUACUUAUCUAUUUGAUUGAUAACUUAUUCUUGUGUGUUGAUUACGGAUGCAUACUUAGUUUGCAUACAUGAAUCUGAUGCUAAAUUGUAAGGUACUUUCACCUAAUCCUUACGAACUUAUAAUUACAAGUAGUGGAGAUUGUUAGCCACAAUCGUGUUAUGUAGAUUCUUGGCAAGAGUAUCAUGCAGUUCAUAGUUAUGAUUGCGUUGUCAAUGCUUAUGAUUUCCAUGGAACUUAAUGAUCUUUGAAUGUAUCUCUAUCACGCUGUUCAUAUAGGAAACUUGAUGAGAAUAAUUUGGUUGCGAUGCGUUGUCCAUUCAAUUCAAUGAAUUUAGGGAAAUCAGAGAGUUAAUUUGUGCAUUCACAAUUAAUUUUGGGCAUUAUCGUUCAUGGUUUAAAGAAACAAUACUGGAAAUCGAUUUAUGUUGCAUAUGUUAAUGAGUGGAGAAGGAUCCUCUAACUAGCCUAUUUCACCAUUCAAUUCACUUUAUUUCAUACCUAGUUUGCUUUAGUUUCCAAUCUGUUUAGUUUAAUCAAAUUCGUCCAAAUCAAUCCCCCUUUCAAUUAAGUGUCUUAGAUUAGUUAAAAAUGUGUUUCAAUAUGUCCAAAUUAGUGUUUUGAGUCUCACUAGUGUUAAAUUCGUCCAAAUAGUUCUUAGAACUUGUUUUGAGUCUUUUAAAGUUAGUUUUGUUUAUUUGAGUGUUUUAGGUCAGUUUAGAGUUUAUAGAGUCUAGUUUUGUGUUUUUAAGUCUAGUUUUGUGUUUUAGAGUUUAAUUUAAGUAGAUUAGCAACCCUAGUUAAUUCUCGGUUUAGAACGAUCCAUACUUACUUAAUACUACAAUUACAUAUUCAAUAGGGUUUAAUUUGCGUGUUGGAUUAUUUCACAUCACAUCAACAUAACGGCAAACAAGAAUAAUUUUAAAAUGGAUUCUACCCAAUCAUUCUAAGGUUCCAAUACUUCAUUUUGUAGAUGUGAGUUGGACUAAUUGGUUAGGAUAUUAUGUAUCUCUUAUACCGAAGUUUAAAUCGCCUCCGUAGAAAUUAAAGUUGCUUAGAAUAUCACCUUAAAAAAGGUAAAGAAAAAAAAGGAACGUUUUAACUACUCACAUGUCAUCGACAAAAAGUUCGAAUCCCAAACAACUGAAAUAUGUUGGUAUUGACAAUAAAUGAACACGAUUGUAAGUCUUGGCUUAUCCGAGCUAGAGUAAUAUUUUUUUUGUAUAAUACAAUUGGCGUUGCUUCUUGUUGUCCUUUGGCAUUGGUGAUGUGAUCUUUGCCCUCUGGGCAAACCACUGGGACUCUUGUAUGCAAUUUUAAAAGUUGGCAAAUUGUUGACUCAAACCAUGGAUUAAUGUUCAUGCCCAUGACGAAUAUAAGAAAUAAAAUACUACCCAUACCACAAGUUUCCACAAGCAGUCAACUAUGAAAUUGGCCCAUAAGGAGGAAUGAAGUGGAAUGGAUAACUCUCUAAAUUCAAUGCCUAAUGAAGGAAGAGUAGAUUGAUUUUUAUUUUAGAAAAGGAUUAGACAUGAAGAAAACUUCUUCCUUUUAUUGCCUCCCGUUUGGGAAUGAUUGAAAUAGAUAACUUUUUUUUCUUGAAUAAUCCAUUUCUACCUCCAAAUUGGCCACAAAUUUUGAUUUCUUCUUUCGACGUACCUUGAAAAUAAUUAGUUAUCCAUUCAAUCCAACCAUCCAUACCAAACAAGGCCUUGGUCAUUCUCCUUUCCCCAAUAUGCUUGUCACUGAGCUCAGCAAUGUUGUCGUCCUAGCAGCAGAAUUAGAGGAAGGAAAACCCGUCCUGGACAAUGCAACCAGGAGAAUGACUUUGCUGUAAGGCUGGCAAAAUGUACCCAACCUUCACAUGUUCUCCACCAUUUUUUUUUCCUUUCAAUAAUUUCAGUUUGACCAUUUUCAAUUAGUUAAAAAGAUGUUUAUAUUGAUGGACAUAUAUACAUACAUAUAUAAAGGGAAUUAUUUCAAUUUCAUUUCUUUUGCUUUUAUUUCAACUCUUGUCGUCAAAUUUUAUUAAUUAAGCUAUUGAAUUUCAUAUAUGUAGCUGAUAUUUACCCUCUGUCCAACGCCUAAUAUGUCUCAGUUAAUUAAAGGAUUUGUUUAGAGUGUAAGGUUAGAAUUCCAUUAGGCUAUUACUUGGACCCUAAGUAAAAAGUCACAAUAUAAAACUAAAUUCCUGCACAUGCUGCUACACAUAACUAAGAAAGCAUCUCAAUAAAUUUGGCUGAUCAAAAGCAUAGAAGAUCUUGGUUUACUUUGAUCAUGGCGAUGUUGACUCCAGGUUAAUGAUUCAUUUUGUGUUUUAAUAUGCAUGGACAUGUAGGUUAACACUUAAAGAGGCUCAUCUCUAUAUGAUAGCUUUAUAUCAUAGAGAUGGAAUAGUUCCGUCUUUAAAUCAGAGCAAGUCCACCCCUAAGGACUUUGUGCCGGCACUCAACCCAUUUAUCCACUCUAGUGAACAGUAAUAUACUCCAAUGAAUAGUAAUAGGCCAAUACAUCUCCACCCCUAACAAAAAAUAGCCUAGUCAAUUUUAUUAAAAUAUAAUUAUUUUUUAUUAUAAAAUAAUAAAAAAUAAUUAUUUUUUAUUAUAAAAUCAUUAUUAUAAAGCUGGGCACCAAGCUAAAAAGCUCAGAACGAAACCAGGAACUAUGGAGCUCUGUAUGGGCGUUGUCAAUGGUGUCUCCAUGUCGGUCGUCAGCGUAUACCCAUCACCCCCUUCACGCUCUCUUCUUUCCCCAAGAAACACCAUUUCUCUUCAUCCCUUCACUUCUCUCCGACCCCCCUCCUCCCUUUCCUGCCAAUUCCAACAUCUCUAACCGCCACCACUCUCUCACUCGGUGGUUCCGGCUUCUCCUUCUUCGACGGCUGUCAGCGAUGAUAAAGAUCAACUUUCAGCUUUCCACUUCCGAAGCAUAUCUGCUUAUCCCGGCUCCGUGGCUCCUUCCCUUCAUGGCUCCUUGCCCUCCGACACCACGCUGGCGUCAGCUAGGCGUUACUUGAGCCAGUCCCAAGCUCUGUCGAUUUUAGGCCGGCCUGUGGACUGGCUUGGGCUGGGUGCCAGUCGAUUCCACGGGCUGGAGUGGAUUGGCUGAGUCUCAGCCUGUUUUUUCCACUGGGUGCCGACCUAUCCCACCCCCGGUGGACUUGCUCUCAUAGAGACGGAACUCAAUUCUGUCUUUAGAUAAUCGAUUAGGAGGCAUGAUAAGAAAAAAUAAUAAACAGACAAGUUUAUGUUUACUAUUCACUACUAGAAAACAGGCCAUAAGACAUUGUUUUGAGGACACCGUUCACUAUCAGUGUUUUUUUUAGAGUCGGUUUCACCGUUGUGUAUGUUUGGUGUCCCUUAGGCUUUCCGACACCAAUGAUAGUGUCAUUCUUCAAAUUUAUAACCUAUAAAUUCAUUAUUUUGCUUUAUACAUGCAAAAUAAUAAUUAUUAGAUUCUUUUAAUGUCAAAAUAAUUAUUAUUAAGUUUUUUAAUUGUUAUUAUAUUGUGCCCAAAUCUAAUCAGCUAACUCUCUCUCUUCAUUUUCCUUUUU
rnacentral:lncRNA from 1 species